UGCUGUGAACUCGAAGAGUAGGGCGGGACACGUGGUAUCCUGUCUGAAUAUGGGGGGACCAUCCUCCAAGGCUAAAUACUCCUGACUGACCGAUAGUGAACCAGUACCGUGAGGGAAAGGCGAAAAGAACCCCGGCGAGGGGAGUGAAAAAGAACCUGAAACCGUGUACGUACAAGCAGUGGGAGCCUCUUUAUGGGGUGACUGCGUACCUUUUGUAUAAUGGGUCAGCGACUUAUAUUCUGUAGCAAGGUUAACCGUAUAGGGGAGCCGAAGGGAAACCGAGUCUUAACUGGGCGUUAAGUUGCAGGGUAUAGACCCGAAACCCGGUGAUCUAGCCAUGGGCAGGUUGAAGGUUGGGUAACACUAACUGGAGGACCGAACCGACUAAUGUUGAAAAAUUAGCGGAUGACCUGUGGCUGGGGGUGAAAGGCCAAUCAAACCGGGAGAUAGCUGGUUCUCCCCGAAAGCUAUUUAGGUAGCGCCUCGUGAACUCAUCUUCGGGGGUAGAGCACUGUUUCGGCUAGGGGGCCAUCCCGGCUUACCAACCCGAUGCAAACUACGAAUACCGAAGAAUGUUAUCACGGGAGACACACGGCGGGUGCUAACGUCCGUCGUGAAGAGGGAAACAACCCAGACCGCCAGCUAAGGUCCCAAAGUCAUGGUUAAGUGGGAAACGAUGUGGGAAGGCACAGACAGCCAGGAUGUUGGCUUAGAAGCAGCCAUCAUUUAAAGAAAGCGUAAUAGCUCACUGGUCGAGUCGGCCUGCGCGGAAGAUGUAACGGGGCUAAACCAUGCACCGAAGCUGCGGCAGCGACACU
rnacentral:rRNA from 1 species